GUCGAUGAUUUGUGUAGGUCAGAAACAACCAUUAGCCGUCUCUGCAGGAUUGCCGCCAUGAAGAGGAAGAUAGAACACAUGCCAAACAUGACAAUUCAGUAAGAACACUUUCACUUACAUUGUAAAGCACCACACAAACAAACAAGUUCAGUGGUAUGCGGAAGAAAUUCAUGAUUGUGCUUCUUGCCUCCUCAGGAAUAUAUUGAGAUCUCAUCUUCAUGAUUGAUGGCCAGAAUAUGCCAACGCAUGCCUCAAAGGUACAGAAACCAAGCAGCUGCAGAGUGCCUCCAAAUGAGAUGCUACCUCCUUUCACUGAAGAACAGUGUUCUUACGUUGGUGACAACAGGAAGGAAAAGGGUGAAGGCUGAUAUUGUAAACACGAUCUGCAUAUAACCUUCGACCUUCAGCUUUCGGGCUAACAAGCGUGCAGCAAUUGAGCUACCCAACAUUGAUGACAGCAUGAAUGUGGCAAAUAUGAAGCCAUGAGGAAUAUCUUCUUCAUUU
rnacentral:sRNA from 1 species